GAUCCCGUAGCUCAAAUGGUUGGAGCAUCGACCUGAUACGUCGAAGGCUGAAGGUUCGAAUCCUUCCGGGAUUA
rnacentral:tRNA from 1 species